AUUUGAACGCUGGCGGCAGGCCUAACACAUGCAAGUCGAGCGGUAACAGGGGAGCUUGCUCCUGCUGACGAGCGGCGGACGGGUGAGUAACGCGUAGGAAUCUACCUGGUAGUGGGGGAUAGCCCGGGGAAACUCGGAUUAAUACCGCAUACGCCUUAAGGGGGAAAGCAGGGGAACUUCGGUCCUUGUGCUAUCAGAAGAGCCUGCGUUGGAUUAGCUAGUUGGUAGGGUAAAGGCCUACCAAGGCGACGAUCCAUAGCUGGUCUGAGAGGAUGAUCAGCCACACUGGGACUGAGACACGGCCCAGACUCCUACGGGAGGCAGCAGUGGGGAAUAUUGGACAAUGGGGGCAACCCUGAUCCAGCCAUGCCGCGUGUGUGAAGAAGGCCUUCGGGUUGUAAAGCACUUUAAGUGGGGAGGAAGGGGUGCUGGCUAAUAUCCAGCAUCAUUGACGCUACCCACAGAAUAAGCACCGGCUAACUCUGUGCCAGCAGCCGCGG
rnacentral:rRNA from 1 species